GCCGAAGUGGCGGAAUUGGCAGACGCAAAGGACUUAAAAUCCUUCGGGGUGUAAACUCCGUGCCGGUUCGAGUCCGGCCUCCGGCACCA
rnacentral:tRNA from 1 species